rnacentral:lncRNA from 1 species
GUAUAAACUUCACAUUUAAAAUCACAGAAAUUAAAUAUGAGAUGAAAUAAAAUAUUCAUUAGAAGCAAAAUAAGGUUUAUACAACUCCAAGAAUAGAAAUCAAAAAUAUAAAACCCUUGGCCCUUUGUUAGGGCUGCAUCCAGCCCUAGAGAAGAGCUUAGCCCUGCAUGGAGAAUUGAACAGCCGCAGCAGUAGAGAAGGCUUUCAUCGUGACCUGCUCUUCUUUCUUUCUUCCUCUGGCGACUUCCAUUGAAGAAACUCCCUCUUAGCACUUCAUUUUUUAUAUAGGAGAAAUCAUUCCCGAAAUGCCCCAAAGACUUCUCUCUCUUUUUGGGAACUCCUGAGAAGAGAUCCACCCCGGUCGGGAAGAGGAAUGGAACCGAAAAGAAGCCUCUAAGAAGAUUGUGAAGAUAUGUGGAACCCCUCCCGGUGGGGAAUGAAUCCUCCUCUGUUCACCCUUGGGCCUUUUAUAGGCUGCGACUCCCCAUCUCCUCCCCUGUGGCUGGUUCGACUGGGAAGAUAAGGCUGUGGAGGCUUGAUCUCCUCCGCAGAUGAUGGAAGAUGGUUCCACGGUUGAGAAGAGCUGGCUUCAUGCGGAUGGGAGUAUCCUUUGGAUGCGGAGAUCUCAUGCGGUUGGCUGCAAAUGCUGGGAGUGAUUCCAGAACAGAGGAAACGAGGAAUCUGAUGACGUUGGGAUUCACGGACGGCUGGGAACGAACUCCAUUUUGAGGCAGGGGAUGAUGACACGGCUGCGAGUUCGGUUGGAGUUUAUCCCGUGAAGAUGGAGGAUAGAGCUGAUCCGUGGGGUAUAUGGGAUUAUGAACGGGAUGUACGAGAAACAGGGGAUUCGGN